CCUACGGGAGGCAGCAGUGAGGAAUAUUGGUCAAUGGGCGGGAGCCUGAACCAGCCAAGUCGCGUGAAGGAAGAAGGUACUUAGUAUUGUAAACUUCUUUUGUCGGGGAACAAAGGCGGAGACGCGUCUCCGGAUGAGUGUACCCGAAGAAAAAGCAUCGGCUAACUCCGUGCCAGCAGCCGCGGUAAUACGGAGGAUGCGAGCGUUAUCCGGAUUUAUUGGGGUUAAAGGGUGCGCAGGCGGGCGAUCAAGUCAGCGGUAAAAUGUCGGGGCUCAACCCCGGCCGGCCGUUGAAACUGGUUGUCUAGAGUUGGAGAGAAGUAUGCGGAAUUCGUGGUGUAGCGUUGAAAUGCAUAGAUAUCACGAAGAACUCCGAUUGCGAAGGCAGCAUACCGGCUCCAUACUGACGCUGAGGCACGAAAGCGUGGGGAUCGAACAGGAUUAGAUACCCUUGUAGUC
rnacentral:rRNA from 1 species